GGCAGCUCAAUACUGUGGACUACAACAGAAUAUGAUAAAUAAUGUUUAUACAAGAAUAUCAACUGUGACUACAUUCUUUAACUAUAUCUUUUCCUCCAAAUUUUACACUAUUUGUUCAAGCAAAGUAUGAUGAUGAAGAGGAUGUAUCUGCCAGAAUCUCCAGUUGCUCUUCACUAAAUGAAUCUUUCUGAAUGUUCCAAGUAUCGGCAUGAGUCCUUCGAAACUCGGCAAUGGCUUUUGUUACAGUAACUUUCACAGGUGAUGGCUCCACGCUGAACCGCGCAAGCAGCGUGACACACUCUGGCAGCCAACCCGGCAUAUCAUAAGGAGCUGACAAGACAGAAGCUG
rnacentral:misc_RNA from 1 species